GUGGCUAUGGUGUAGCGGUAGCACACGAGCUUGUGGAGCUCUUAGUCUGGGUUCAACUCCCAGUAGCCACC
rnacentral:tRNA from 1 species